UUUAACGAGAGUUUGAUCCUGGCUCAGGAUGAACGCUGGCGGCGUGCUUAACACAUGCAAGUCGAGCGCGGUCCCUUUGGUGCUUGCACCAAAGAAGACUGAGCGGCGGACGGGUGAGUAACGCGUGGGUAACCUGCCCUAUACACAUGGAUAACAUGCUGAAAAGCAUACUAAUACAUGAUAACGUACACUGAUGGCAUCUUCGGUGUAUCAAAGCGUUAGCGGUAUAGGAUGGACCCGCGUCUGAUUAGCUAGUUGGUGGGGUAAAAGCCUACCAAGGCCACGAUCAGUAGCCGACCUGAGAGGGUGAUCGGCCACAUUGGAACUGAGACACGGUCCAAACUCCUACGGGAGGCAGCAG
rnacentral:rRNA from 1 species